CUACAAAACUACGCACAGUUUUCAACCAUAACGACGAUGAUGAAUAUCAAUGGCAGAAGCAGCAAAUACAUGUUGCAUCAUCAUCCAGGUGGAACAGAACGAAUCGAAAUUCUUAUUGAGGCGCUUCGAGACGGAUGUAAUCGUACAUAACUCCCUGCAACGGCGUCUCAGCAUUCGCUUGUGUUAAAUAGAUCUUGUUGUCGCCAUGGACGAGAGAAGCCGCCGGCAAAUCCACGCUGAAGAGCCAGUAGAGGCCAUGGAUCCCAUGUCUGGCGAUUGCGUUAUCCUUCCCGAUUGCUCCGCUACUGAACAAUGGCGGAUUUUCUCCUGGAUUGUUGAUCCUGACCUAAACGCAACCAAACAUCGGUACCUCGAGCAGAGCUUGAUUUGCAGAUGCGAGUGCCAAUCUCAAUUUGUACGUUCCUCCUGGUUGGAUGGCAUCCAGUUUGAACUUGAUCUGCCAUGUUGUUGCUUGGUAAAGCUCAAGGAACUAUUGGGGAAAAUACCUGUCGGCAACAAGUAAUCUGCCAUUAAGUGUGCCCCUCUGAGCUGAAGGUGGGAAAUCCUCUGAUGCUGGAAAACUGAACUAAAAAGCUCCCAAAUAUUGUCUGCAUAUUGCAGUGUUUAAUGAAAUCUUCCUAAUGGAGUUUUUGUUCUACAUUCAAGAAGUUGGGGUUGAUAUAACCUGUGAUUUGGCAUCUUCCCAAAGGGUGAGAGGAUCGGCUCCAUCAGCCGUUGAAUUGAGAUCGUUAAAUCUUACAGCAAGAGUGAUUGGGCCAACAUGAGAGGUGAGAUCUUGCUUGAAGGGUCCUCCAGUUCUGAAUUCGUUGCUCGGCAUGAUCUGCCAAAACCCCACAGCUUCUGGUUGAUCUCUGCAUAUCCAUCCAUGGACCUUCCCAUCUAUGUUGUCGCAAGAAUACUGGUACUUGUCGUCUACCUUCUCGUACAUACAGAAUUUACUCUCUAGUUUUCAAUAUUUUUGGGGCUAAAGUAGAGCUGUAGACGAGCCCAACUGAGCCAAGCUUGUCAUGUUUGAGCUCGGUUCGUGUUCGUUCGUUAAAAAAUACGAGUUAAAAUUUUUAUUUGAGCUCGACUCGUUUAGUAAUUUUU